GGAAAGGAUGUAGCUCAGUGGAAGGCUAUCUCUUCUGUAUUCAGAAGGUUCCAGGCUCAAUUCCUGGCAUUUCCU